rnacentral:piRNA from 1 species
UACAACACUGUCAACAACUUG